UACAGAGAGAUAGACGGACAGAAAGGAGGGCAGAUAUGGUCACUCAUCAGUCACACAAAGAUAUCCUUCCAAUCAAUGACACAUGUGAUGAAGAGUUAUCAAUUUUCUCCUCAGAUCAUGGAAGAACAGAGUUGAGAACUGGGGAUUGUGUCUCUCUAUCAUGUGAUGGGGCUCCGAGUAACUGUUCCAGUAUUACCUGGCUGUUCAGUUACAAGAGUGGUACGACUGUUGCAUUGUUUGAAGGAGGGAAGGUUAAGUCUGAAGGCAAAAAAGAAAGACUACGUGUUACAAAGGAGUGUUCUCUGGAGGUGAAGCCUCUGAGAGAGGAAGAUGAAGGUCGCUACACCUGCAGAUCCUUUCAAUCAACAGGAGUAGAGUUUGAUCAUGCAAGGCAUCAACUAGAGCUAAUGACCAGCACAAACAGACCAACCACAACCACAGUGAAAGUAGCAAACACAACUUGCACAAGCACAUCCAAACCAACCACUACACCAGUGAAAGGAGCAGCCAGCAGCAGCCCAGCAGCAAGGCCCUCAACAUCAACACCAACCACACACACACUGAACGCUCCUACAGCGGGGGUCCUGCUGCGGGUCCUGGUGCUGCUGGGCUUCUCCGUCCUGACCCUGGUGGUUCUGCUCCGCCUCAUUGGCUGGUGGAGAACCAGAGGGUCUGAACUCUGCCAGCGACGCCCCGCCAGCCAGAGAACGCCUCGGCCCAGGGGCCAGUGACCAGCAGCAGCACACUGUGGAUAUGGACCUGGACUGGGCUCCCAGGGGCCCCUCUGUGGUCCAGCGUGGUGGGCAGAGGGCAGUAGGCUCAGCACAGGACCAAGUGGAUCCUGGUGAACUUAGCGAUGCGGCUACCUAUGUAAACCUGAGGGCCCCUCCCAGAUGUGCUGGGGACACUGCAGACAUGUCCGUCCAUUUUGUCACCGUCCACCAACUGUCAAAAUGACAAACGUCUGGACAACAUGUGAGGAAGCAGGUGGAAGCGGUCGGAGCUAUAGCUGGUUGUUGUUGUAUUCAGAUGCAUUUUAACCGACUGAACAAAUGUUGAUUCCCCUGGUCCUUAAACAAGCAUUUAGGCCUACACAACAAGCAGUAGGUCUACACUCGGUAGUCCUUAACAACCGGUUUGGCUGUAUACAUGACAUGACAUUUAUACUUAACGGAAAUAAUGAAUAUUAAACAUGCUUUCAAAUGAGUUGAUAUGUUGUCCUCGCCAGAGACCAAACUGAUUGUAUGAAAAACAAUCAACGGACCAAUGAACACAAAAGUUUGUAGCCAACCUCAUUGGUGAGGUUAAUAAUAUAAUACAACUAUUUUAAAGCUCUUGCAUUUAAAAUGUUCCUGUUUACAAAACACCAUAUUCUGUUAUGCUUUAGGUAUGUAGGC